CUAGCCCAGUUAGCUAACCCUAGAUCGGAGCGCAACACAACGCAGCACAAAAAGGGACGCGCUCGUUUUACCCAACACCCGACUGAGUGAGAGAGCGCUAGCGACCGGAUAAGGUUUCGCCUACCAGCUGCCAACGGCCAGCCUCGACGCCGGCGGGGGCUGGUCCGACCACGCGCCUCUCCGCCUCCCGUCGCAGCCUCUCUCCCCCGAGUUUCCCUUCUGCCCAAGCUGCACCUUGCUAGCAAGGAUACUGCGCACUCCGAUCUAUAAUAUCAGCUCUCUAUAGCGACCGUCGCUGUCGCCCACCUUUCGCCCUGUAGGCAAGAACAAGACGGCAUGGCUUGUGCGAGUGCCGCGAUCCGAACCAUAAACAGAAAGAUUGCCCCACACUACACUGUCACUACUGUGGGGGAACUCUUCACACCCGAGGCACUUGCUGUUACACGGAUCCUGUUUACCGCGUUGGAGAAAGAUGUCCCAGAUGUGGUGGUUUUCAACACGGGGUACCUGGCAAGCCCCCCUGCCCAGUCCAAGAAGCUCAUGCUCGCCCGCCUAUGUGCCCGCGGUGUCAAGUGCCACAUCGUCCAAGAGACUGCCCUCAUCGUGGAGCCGAAUAUUCCGGGUGGACAAGCUCCGACAGAUGCACGCAAUGCAAUGAAACUGGUCAUUUUUUCCCCGACUGCCCUAACAAAUACUAGUACUAGUUUCUCUGUAUCUUGUUAUUGUAGCUCGUAAGUUUGUUUGAGUAUUUUUCAAGACUAUUAGCUUAGUGGUUUGCCCAUUGUUGAUGUAUAUUAUUAAGCCUGAAAGCACUUCAAUUCUCAGUAUCUUUUAAUAUAUAGUAUUAUUUAUA